GGCCCAUUAGCUCGUUGGUUAGAGCGUCGCGCUUCGAGCACGGAGGUAACAGGUUCGAUUCCUGUAUGGGCCCUU
rnacentral:tRNA from 1 species